UACGAAGGGGGCUAGCGUUGUUCGGAAUCACUGGGCGUAAAGGGCGCGUAGGCGGCUUGAUAAGUCGGGGGUGAAAGCCUGUGGCUCAACCACAGAAUUGCCUUCGAUACUGUCGAGCUUGAGACCGGAAGAGGUAAGUGGAACUGCGAGUGUAGAGGUGAAAUUCGUAGAUAUUCGCAAGAACACCAGUGGCGAAGGCGGCUUACUGGUCCGGUUCUGACGCUGAGGCGCGAAAGCGUGGGUAGCAAACAGG
rnacentral:rRNA from 1 species